rnacentral:rRNA from 1 species
UGAGCAAUCUGCCCUUCUCUUCGGAAUAAGCGUGGGAAACCGCGUCUAAUGCCGAAUACGACCUCCUUUCGCAUGAUCGGAGGUGGAAAGCUCCGGCGGUGAAGGAUGAGCUCGCGGCCUAUCAGCUUGUUGGUGAGGUAAUAGCUCACCAAGGCGAUGACGGGUAGCCGGCCUGAGAGGGUGACCGGCCACACUGGGACUGAGACACGGCCAGACUCCGUAGGGAG